rnacentral:rRNA from 1 species
GACGAACGCUGGCGGCGUGCCUAAUACAUGCAAGUAGAACGCUGAAGGAGGAGCUUGCUCUUCUGGAUGAGUUGCGAACGGGUGAGUAACGCGUAGGUAACCUGCCUGGUAGCGGGGGAUAACUAUUGGAAACGAUUGCUAAUACCGCAUAAGAGUAGAUGUUGCAUGACAUUUGCUUAAAAGGUGCAAUUGCAUCACUACCAGAUGGACCUGCGUUGUAUUAGCUAGUUGGUGGGGUAACGGCUCACCAAGGCGACGAUACAUAGCCGACCUGAGAGGGUGAUCGGCCACACUGGGACUGAGACACGGCCCAGACUCCUACGGGAGGCAGCAGUAGGGAAUCUUCGGCAAUGGACGGAAGUCUGACCGAGCAACGCCGCGUGAGUGAAGAAGGUUUUCGGAUCGUAAAGCUCUGUUGUAAGAGAAGAACGAGUGUGAGAGUGGAAAGUUCACACUGUGACGGUAUCUUACCAGAAAGGGACGGCUAACUACGUG